rnacentral:rRNA from 1 species
GAUGAACGCUGGCGGCGUGCCUAAUACAUGCGAGUCGAGCGAACAGAUAAGGAUCUUGCUCCUUUGACGUUAGCGGCGGACGUGUGAGUAACACGUGGGUAACCUACCUAUAAGACUGGGAUAACUUCGGGAAACCGGAGCUAAUACCGGAUAACAUUUGGAACCGCAUGGUUCUAAAGUGAAAGAUGGUUUUGCUAUCACUUAUAGAUGGACCCGCGCCGUAUUAGCUAGUUGGUAAGGUAACGGCUUACCAAGGCGACGAUACGUAGCCGACCUGAGAGGAUGAUCGGCCACACUGGAACUGAGACACGGUCCAGACUCCUACGGGAGGCAGCAGUAGGGAAUCUUCCGCAAUGGGCGAAAGCCUGACGGAGCAACGCCGCGUGAGUGAUGAAGGGUUUCGGCUCGUAAAACUCUGUUAUUAGGGAAGAAAAAAUGUGUAAGUAAAUGUGCACGUCUUGACGGUACCUAAUCAGAAAGCAACGGCUAACUACGUG